rfam:Homo sapiens chromosome Y, GRCh38 reference primary assembly.
UAGGACGUGGUGUAAUAGGUAGCACAGAGAAUUUUGGAUUCUCAGGUGCAGGUUCAAUUCCUAUAUUCUAG